rnacentral:rRNA from 1 species
UACAGAGGGUGCGAGCGUUGUUCGGAAUUACUGGGCGUAAAGCGCGCGCAGGCGGCUCUUUAAGUCUACCCGUGAAAUGCCGGAGCUCAACUCCGUGCACGCCGGGGGAUACUGGAGAGCUGGAGACAUGUAGAGGCAAGCGGAAUUCCGGGUGUAGCGGUGGAAUGCGUAGAGAUCCGGAAGAACACCGGAGGCGAAGGCGGCUUGCUGGGCAUGGUCUGACGCUGAGGCGCGAAAGCGUGGGGAGCGAACGGG